GAUGAACGCUGGCGGCGUGCCUAAUACAUGCAAGUCGAGCGAACGGACGAGAAGCUUGCUUCUCUGAUGUUAGCGGCGGACGGGUGAGUAACACGUGGAUAACCUACCUAUAAGACUGGGAUAACUUCGGGAAAUCGGAGCUAAUACCGGAUAAUAUUUUGAACCGCAUGGUUCAAAAGUGAAAGACGGUCUUGCUGUCACUUAUAGAUGGAUCCGCGCUGCAUUAGCUAGUUGGUAAGGUAACGGCUUACCAAGGCAACGAUGCAUAGCCGACCUGAGAGGGUGAUCGGCCACACUGGAACUGAGACACGGUCCAGACUCCUACGGGAGGCAGCUGUAGGGAAUCUUCCGCAAUGGGCGAAAGCCUGACGGAGCAACGCCGCGUGAGUGAUGAAGGUCUUCGGAUCGUAAAACUCUGUUAUUAGGGAAGAACAUAUGUGUAAGUAACUGUGCACAUCUUGACGGUACCUAAUCAGAAAGCCACGGCUAACUACGUG
rnacentral:rRNA from 1 species